AGUGAACGCUGGCGGUGGGCCUAACACAUGCAAGUCGAACGGCAGCACAGUAAGAGCUUGCUCUUACGGGUGGCGAGUGGCGGACGGGUGAGGAAUACAUCGGAAUCUACUUUUUCGUGGGGGAUAACGUAGGGAAACUUACGCUAAUACCGCAUACGACCUACGGGUGAAAGCAGGGGAUCUUCGGACCUUGCGCGAUUGAAUGAGCCGAUGUCGGAUUAGCUAGUUGGCGGGGUAAAGGCCCACCAAGGCGACGAUCCGUAGCUGGUCUGAGAGGAUGAUCAGCCACACUGGAACUGAGACACGGUCCAGACUCCUACGAGAGGCAGCAGUGGGGAAUAUUGGACAAUGGGCGCAAGCCUGAUCCAGCCAUACCGCGUGGGUGAAGAAGGCCUUCGGGUUGUAAAGCCCUUUUGUUGGGAAAGAAAAGCAGCAGGUUAAUACCCCGCUGUUCUGACGGUACCCAAAGAAUAAGCACCGGCUAACUUCGUG
rnacentral:rRNA from 1 species